UCCGCAAGUGGCCUUGUAAGUCUGUCGUUAAAGCGCGGAGCUUAACUCCAUUUCAGCGAUGGAAACUACAAGGCUAGAGUGUGGUAGGGGCAGAGGGAAUUCCCGGUGUAGCGGUGAAAUGCGUAGAUAUCGGGAAGAACACCAGUGGCGAAGGCGCUCUGCUGGGCCAUCACUGACACUCAUGGACGAAAGCCAGGGGAGCGAAAG
rnacentral:rRNA from 1 species